GUGGUGGUCCGGAUUGAGCCACAAGGGGGCGCACAGAUCUCGCUCAGACCCCACACCUGCCAAUCAGGAGUCUGCUCACAUGUAGGAGAUGAGAAGAGCACAC